AGGCACAAGAUUAUUAGCAAAUUAGAUAAAUCGCGCAUCCUUGUUUCUUCGAGCAUGAGCCAUGAGCACGCCUUAUUCUUUGACUUUUUCUUCUUAGUCCACGAAAUACCCGAACUUUAUUUUGUCCAUAAAACCUCCAUAUGGCUUCCAAAUGAUUCCAACUUUCUUUUGAUCCUACAAAAUAAAAAAUUCAACCAAAAGAUAGUUUACAAGCACAUUAAGUCAUCAACAUAUAUUGGAAACUUCUUAAAAUAUAUGCAAACUUAUACUCCAACAAAGCUCUUUGGUGUGAUAGAAGGAUAUUUGCGCUAUCUUACAGUUUAUAAUUUUAGUGCUCAUUGGUGUGGUGGAGAAGUCUCGUGUCUCUGAGUCGAUUUUAUUAGAGUUUGCUAUGGGCAAAAAUGAGUUAAAUGUUAUUAAUAAACUUUAAAUGUUACUAUAGAUGGCUAAAAGCAAAGUAAGUGUCAUGAACUAAAUAUCUUGUAACUUAAAAGAGAUAAAAAUAAGGUAAAUGUAUUAGUAAGCAAAAAAGAAUUUCACAUGAUAAUAAGCUUUAAUAGUGUGUGACCUAGUGAACUUACCUUAAACAAUAUUAAGGAAAUUGAUGAUUUAAGCAUGCUAUAGUUCAAAGAAAUGAAAAUGAUGUAUACGAAUCACUUAAAGAUUAACAACUGUAAAUGGGAAAUGUGAAAUAACAUUUCAAGGUAUUAUGGACUCUACUUAAGAGUCUUGAAAUAGAUGUUUUCAUUAAAUGAAUUGGUUAACAAACUGUUAAUAGGUAAGUUGAGCCCUUACACUUUAGUAAAUCAAAAUGAAACAGCGAAUAGUACUAAAAUGUGGCUUGAAUGAAACUAGCAUGAGAUCCAUAGAACAGGCUCAACACUAAUAAGGAUUAAGAUAAGUAAGUUUAUCCCUGGCUACUUACUAAGCUUUUUAAGCUCAUGCAUUAGUUAUUGAAAACGUAUAGGUUUGGACUUAUCGAGAAGUCAUGGUGUUCGCUUGAGAGCAUCACAUCAUUCAUCGAGCUUAUAAGGUUGUAAUUCAAGUGUUCAAAUAUCAUUUGUUUUGGAUUAUUGGCACGUAUAGAAAGACUUAGAAUACUCGAGCAAUUGUAAAGUUAAAUGAUGAACUUGAGCUUCUUUUGUGUUUCUCUUAAACAAAUAUGUAUCUUUUGUUUUAGAUGUGUUCAUGCUAAGCUUUUAAGCUUAAAUGAGUGUAAGUUUUGAUUUACAAUGACUAGAUUUAUGUUGAAAUGAUAUGGUGAUGUUUGGGAUAUGUUUUGGAGUGAUUUUAAGUGUUUUUGGCGAAUUCAGUGAGUCAUGUCGCGACCACAGAGUUGCAACCUUGCAAACUCGAUGUCUGACAUUACAACUUCUCUUUUCUCACAUAGUGACCUCAUUAACAUAGUCAAUCACGUCUCGAUGUCAAAUGUUCCUCGUCACAACAUCGCACCUAUUUCAGCACUACACUAAUUAAAGUCAUUUUGACCUUUCAGAGAUCGUUUUAAGUUCUGAUCACCUCCGAUUAACUUCGAAUAAAUCCUAAAUGAUUUUAAAUUGUUUUUAAAACUUUAAAUAUUAUCUACAAUAUAUUUUAAUUGUUUUAGAAAAAUGUUUUAAAAUUUCAAUUCUUAAAUAAAUCCAAGAUUUCUUACCUGUACAUUCUUUGGUGGCAUCUCCUAUUCGUAUCGAUUGUUUGAAACGGGUGAAGGUUGCUACAAAUUUACUCACUUUGCUAGGCUCUGUAAACAUAGGGGACCAAACUGCGUAUACAACUUGUUGUGUUUUACUUUAAUCUUAUCACAUUACUCCCUUUAGUUGCCACUGCAACCAUCACUUCCAUAAAAACACUCUAUUUUUCUAAGCAAUUAUCAACUGUUCUUUUCAACAAUUGGUAUUAGAGCUUCCCACUUAACGUAGCUAAUGAUGUUUCCUAGUGUUGGUAAUUUCUAGAUAUGGAAGGAUCUUCAAUUGUUUGUCCUCCUAGGUUGGAGGGUUCUAAUUAUGCUUAUUGGAAGGCAUGAAGAAAAUCCCUUAUCAGUCCACAGAUGAGAAAGCAUGAUGCUUUGUCUUCACUAGUUGAGAAUUAUAACACCCCUAAAACAUGUUUUCAUCCAAAAUUCUUUAAUAAAAUACCUUUAAACAUCCAUUAACAUCUCAAUUUCAUCAUCAAAUAACAAAAAUCAUAUGAACUUAUCAAUUGGUAUCUUCCAAAACUUUCAACAAAAUCAAAAACUAAUAGAAUACUAAGUUGGACCUAAUUGUAAAAGUCCAAAAAUAUAAAAACUUCUAGGAAAAAGCAAGAAUUGAACUUACUUGAAGUUAAAAUAUGAAAGACCAGCUCAAAAUCCUCUUCCAUGGCUGUUUUUGACAGAAAGUUAAAGAAGAAAUG
rnacentral:lncRNA from 1 species